GAAACCGACAUUAAUACGGGUUGCAGACCAAGAGCUAAGCUAAGUUAGUUUAGCUUAUCUCGCAUAGCUGACGCAGUUUUCCAUACUUGUGUGCAGACCGCAAACUAUGCGAACUAAGCUAUGUGAGCUAACUAAAAUGUGCGAAGCUAAGUUAGUUGUGUAUGCCGAUGCGCAGCUACUAGAGCUAAGCUAAGCCCCUCCCGCUACCCCGCACACCCUUUGCACAUCCUUCGCCACACUGUCUGAGCUUUGGCUUAGCUGUGGGUGUGCACGCUAUUUAUUUCUAGCUUAGCUUAGCCUAGCUUGCUUGGCAUAGCUUAGUUUAGCCUUGGCAUAGCUUUGUUUUCGGUCUGCAAC